UCAACAAAAGCAUUUUUAACCCUAGAAAUCAAGUCUCCUGUAACGCUCCUCUCUCCUUUCCUCCCUCAUCUUACUCGAUCUUACAAGUUUUUCUCUCUGCAUUUCGAUCUUUUAAAUCCCAAUUGUUCGCUGUCUUCCUGAGAUAUCGUCAAUUUUUGGUUUGGAUGUUCUUGCGUCGUCUGAUCCUAAGUUCUUGAUACCCGAGGAGAAGUUGAGAAGUUUCAGAGGCUCUUCCUUCUUCGGUAUUUCUGAUCAAUUGCUCUAGCCUCUCUGCGGGAGAGGCCUGGACUGUUCUCUUACCUGGUCUUCCUCUAAGUACCACCAUUAAGAUAUCUCAAUCCUUCAAAUCUAAUCAACAAGAUGACAAUUCGAACUCCAGCUACACCAGCUUCAAAGAUAGACAGGACACCAGCAUCCACACCAGGUGGGCACAAAGCUAAGGAAGAAAAGAUUGUUGUGACAGUACGGUUAAGACCUUUAAGCAAACGUGAACAGUCACAUAAAGAUCAAGUAGCAUGGGAAUGCAUUGAUGAUCAUAGUAUCAAAUUCAAGCCACCAUCUCAGGAGCGGUCGGUUGCGCCCGUAUCCUACACCUUUGAUAAGGUCUUUGGUCCUGCUUGUCUGACUGAGGCGGUCUAUGAGGAAGGUGUGAAGAAUGUUGCUUUGUCAGCAUUAAUGGGCAUAAACGCAACCAUAUUUGCUUAUGGGCAAACUAGUAGCGGAAAGACUUUCACGAUGAGAGGAAUAACGGAGAAGGCGGUAAAUGAUAUAUAUGAUCACAUUUCUAAUAAUCCAGAGAGAGAUUUUACAAUAAAGAUUUCUGGACUGGAAAUUUAUAAUGAGAAUGUCAGGGACCUAUUAAAUCUAGAUCCUUCUCGUAAUCUUAAACUUUUGGAUGAUCCAGAGAAAGGAACUGUGGUUGAGAAGUUGGUAGAAGAGACAGCAAAUAAUGAUCAGCACUUGAGACAUUUAAUCAGUAUUUGUGAAGCUCAAAGGCAAGUUGGCGAAACUGCAUUAAAUGAUACGAGCUCAAGAUCACACCAGAUAAUAAGGCUGACCAUAGAGAGUAUACUCCGGGAGAAUUCAGGUUGUGUGAAGUCUUUUGUUGCAAGCCUGAACUUUGUUGACCUUGCUGGAAGUGAAAGAGCUUCACAGACACAUGCAGAUGGUGCUAGGCUCAAGGAAGGGUGCCAUAUCAACCGUAGCUUGAUGACUCUCACAACUGUAAUCAGAAAGCUCAGUGUUGGAAAGAAAACUGGCCAUAUACCAUAUCGAGAUUCAAAGCUCACACGCAUAUUGCAGCACUCUCUUGGAGGAAAUGCUCGUACUGCUAUCAUCUGUACCUUGAGUCCAGCACUGAGCCAUGUGGAGCAAUCUCGCAAUACUCUCUCCUUUGCCACCCGUGCAAAGGAAGUCACUAAUACUGCCCAAGUAAACAUGGUUGUUUCAGAGAAACAACUGCUGAAAAAUUUGCAAAAGGAAGUAGCCAGACUUGAAGCAGAGCUCCAAACCCCUGAUCCAUCUAAGGAAAAAGAACAGAAAAUUCAGCAGAUGGAGAUGGAAAUUGAAGAACUGAGGCGCCAGAGAGAUCUUGCUCAAGCUCAAGUCCAUGAAUUGCGUAGGAAAAUGCAGGAGCAGCCGGUAUUGAACCCAUUUGAAUCAACCCGCCCAGUAGCAAAGUGCCUCAACUUUUCUGGUUCAUUAUCACCAAAACUUGAUGGGAAGGAAUCUGCUCGGGGUGAUAGAACAGGAAACACUCUGGGAAGGCAGACAAUGAGGCAAUCUUCAACUGCUCCCUUCAUGCUUAGGCAUGAAAUUCGGAAGCUUGAGCAGCUCCAGGAGCAGCUUGGAGAAGAAGCAAACCGGGCCCUGGAAGUUCUACAGAAGGAGGUUGCUUGUCACAGAUUAGGUAAUCAAGAUGCAGCUGAGACUAUUGCCAAGCUGCAAGCUGAUUUAAGGGAAAUGCGUGCUGUGAGGUCAACAGUAAAACAAGUUGAAAUGGGAGAAGCUGUUGCUGCUAACAAGAGUGUUAGUGCCAACCUCAAAGAAGAGAUCACUAGGCUUCAUUCACAGGGAAGCACCAUUGCCGAUCUUGAGGAGCAGCUUGAAAACGUUCAGAAGUCUAUUGACAAGUUGGUAAUGUCCCUCCCAAGUAAUAAUCAACAAUGCAAUAGCGAGGUGACUCCAAAAUCCAAGAGUCACUCAAAGAAAAAGAAAAUGCUUCCUUUAGCCACGAGUAACAGUGGUAACCUUCAAAAUCUCAUAAGAUCUCCGUGCUCACCUGUGUCAUCGUCUCGCAAGGUAUUGGAAUCUGAAACAGAGAACAAGCCUCCAGAAAACAAUGACAUUGUAUCUAGUGAAACUUUACUGGAACCCGAGAAAGUGACUCCAUCAAAGAUUGAAGACGGUGGAGAUAUAUCAUCAAGGGAAGGAACCCCCUGCUACAGGCGUUCGAGUUCUGUAAACAUGCAAAAAAUGCAAAAGAUGUUUCAGAAUGCAGCUGAGGAGAAUGUGAGAAGCAUUAGGGCAUAUGUUACAGAGCUGAAAGAACGCGUGGCCAAGCUGCAGUACCAGAAGCAGCUGCUCGUUUGCCAGGUAUUGGAAUUAGAAGCAAAUGAAGGUGCUGGAUAUGAUAUGGAGAAUAAUGAGAACUCAUCUGAGCUACAGGAGCCCCCUGUCUCAUGGCAUGUCACUUUUCAGGAGCAGAGGAAACAAAUUAUUGAGUUGUGGGAUGUGUGCCAUGUUUCAAUCAUACAUAGAACGCAAUUUUACUUGUUAUUCAAGGGUGACCCAGCAGAUCAGAUUUAUUUGGAGGUUGAGCUACGUAGCUUGACUUGGUUGCAGCAGCACUUUGCAGAACUUGGGGAUGCAAGCCCAGCCCGCUUUGGUGAUGAACCUACCAUCUCUCUAUCCUCAAGUAUUAGAGCAUUAAAGCGUGAAAGGGAGUUCCUUGCUAAGAGGGUCCAACAAUUGACUGUAGAGGAACGAGAUGCACUGUACAUAAAAUGGGAUGUCCCACUUGAUGGAAAGCAGAGGAAGCUACAACUUGUAAGUAAGCUAUGGCUAGAUCCUCAUGAUCGCAAGCAUGUAGAGGAGAGUGCUGAGUUAGUUGCGAAGCUGGUAGGAUUCUGUGAAGGUGGGAAAGUAUCAAAGGAGAUGUUUGAGCUGAAUUUCAUGGUUCCAGCAGACAAGAGACCGUGGACUCUGGGUUGGAAUCCAAUCUCUAAUCUUCUACACUUGUAAGAGACCUUCCUUGGAUCUUCUUUCAUCAUCAGUGUGAGAUUCAAGUACACGAUCAUUGUGUACCUUGUACCAAAAGCAGGAGCCUGCCAUUUGGGGUUGUUCGGCUUUAUCUGUUAUGAGACUUUGUUUUAUUCAAUGUCGAGUGCAAGAAGAAAUGGAGCGAAGAAAAUAUGCAGAAAUCGUUUGAAGGAUGGAAUUGAAGCCUGAUUCAAUUUGAUUCUUUGUCAAGUGCAAGAAGAAAGAGAGGGAAGAAGAUAUGCAGAAAUCGUUUGAAGGAUGGAUCUGAAGCCUGAUUCAUUUUGAUUCUUUUGUCAAGUACUAGAAGAAAGGGAAGGAAGAAGAUAUGCAGAAAUAGUUUGAAUCCUGACUCAUUUUGAUUCUUUGAUAGGCACAAGGCCAGGGAGGCAGGAGCAAGCUUCAUACAGUAGAAGGUCUGGGAGAAUGGAGGAGAAAGAAUGAAUGGGAGGAGAGAGUGAGAGUCGGAUCUCAGUGCAAGAGGCGUGUAGAAUAUUUUCCUUUUUUUAAAUACUUGCAUAAGUUUGUAUUGACUAGGAUGAAAAUGCCUCAUAAUGAAGAAACAGUAACAAUCAGUGUUUCACAGUUGCAACGUGUUCCACUCAAAACAAUUAAGCA